UACGUAGGGCGCGAGCGUUGUCCGGAUUUAUUGGGCGUAAAGAGCUCGUAGGCGGCUUGUCGCGUCGUCCGUGAAAACUUGGGGCUCAACCCCAAGCUUGCGGUCGAUACGGGCAGGCUAGAGUUCGGUAGGGGAGACUGGAAUUCCUGGUGUAGCGGUGAAAUGCGCAGAUAUCAGGAGGAACACCGGUGGCGAAGGCGGGUCUCUGGGCCGAUACUGACGCUGAGGAGCGAAAGCGUGGGGAGCAAACAGG
rnacentral:rRNA from 1 species